GUGGGUAUAGCUCAGUGGUAGAGCACAUGCCUAGCACACAGGAGGUCCUGGGUUCAAUCCCUAGUACCUCCA
rnacentral:tRNA from 1 species